UGCAGCUGAACCUGCCAGUGAAGCUCCCACAUCCAGGACUGAGCCUCUGGGAGAUGCUGAGGGUGUGUCUGUGGGGAGGACUUCUCAAGCUCCAGGGCUGGAUGCUUGGCCCCAACCCAGCUCCCAUGGCAGGGGUCCUCCAAAAGGAAAGACCCAAGAUACUGCAGCCAAAACGUCUCAUGAGGCAGAUGAAUUCCUGAGACAAACACAGAAGGAAGUACCCCGAGGACAAGUGAUGGACCAAAAGGCUGUGCAGAAGGAGGAGCACCCAGGGAGAAGCAGUGGCUCACUGGCACCCCUGCUGCAGGAAGGAAGGUGAUGGCAGAGACGGG